UUGAACCGAAGCCCCAGUAAACGGCGGCCGUAACUAUAACGGUCCUAAGGUAGCGAAAUUCCUUGUGGGGUAAGUUCCCACGCGCACGAAUGGUGUAACAACUUGAGCGCUGUCUCGGGGACGGCCUCGGCGAAUUUGUAGUGGCGGUGAAGAUGCUGCCUACCCGCACUUGGACGAAAAGACCCCGGAACCUUUACUGUAGUCUGAUAUUUGACUUGAGUUUUGUUUGUGUAGGAUAGGUGGGAGGCUUUGAAGUUCCGACGCUAGUCGGGAUGGAGCCAUUGGUGAAAUACCACCCUAAUCGAAUUUAGGUUAUAAUUAUGCACUGUGAAUCCAGUCAUAAGACAGUGUCAGAUGGGCAGUUUGUUUGGGGCGAAUCCCGUCUAAAAUGUAACGACGGGGUCCUAAGGUCAUCUCAAUCCGGUCGGCAAUCGGAUGUGGAGUGCAUAGGCAUAAGAUGGCUUAACUGUGACAUCGACAGAUGGAACAGAUACGAAAGUAGGGCUAAGUGAUCCGGUGGUAGAUUAUGGGAUUGCCAUCGCUCAACGGAUAAUAGGUACUCUGGGGAUAACAGGCUGAUCGCGCUCGAGAGUUCAUAUCGACAGCGCGGAUUGGCACCUCGAUGUCGGCUCGUCGUAUCCUGGGGCUGUACAAGGUCCCAAGGGUCCGGCUGUUCGCCGGUUAAAACGGCACGUGAGCUGGGUUUAGAACGUCGUGAGACAGUUCGGUCUCUAUCCAGUGUGGGCGCACGAUGAUUGAAGUGGAGAUCUCCUUAGUACGAGAGGACCGGGAGAUACGAACCUCUAGUGUUCCGGUUGUCCCGCCAGGGGCAAUGGCCGGGUAGCUAUGUUCGGAAGGGAUAAGUGCUGAAUGCAUAUAAGUACGAAGCCUCCCACAAGAUUAUUCAUCGAUUUCUGUCUUCGGACAGGAUAAAGACACCUUGUAGACUACGAGGUUGAUAGGCAGGGUGUGUAAGGCCUGAAAGGGCUUCAGCUAACCUGUACUAAUUAGUCGAACGCUUGACCUU
rnacentral:rRNA from 1 species